UAUUGGGCGUAAGCGCGCGCAGGUGGUUUCUUAGGUCUGAUGUGAAAGCCCACGGCUCAACCGUGGAGGGUCAUUGGAAACUGGGAGACUUGAGUGCAGAAGAGGAUAGUGGAAUUCCAAGUGUAGCGGUGAAAUGCGUAGAGAUUUGGAGGAACACCAGUGGCGAAGGCGACUAUCUGGUCUGUAACUGACACUGAGGCGCGAAAGCGUGGGGAGCAAACAGGAUUAGAUACCCUGGUAGUCCACGCCGUAAACGAUGAGUGCUAAGUGUUAGGGGGUUUCCGCCCCUUAGUGCUGCAGCUAACGCAUUAAGCACUCCGCCUGGGGAGUACGGUCGCAAGACUGAAACUCAAAGGAAUUGACGGGGGCCCGCACAAGCGGUGGAGCAUGUGGUUUAAUUCGAAGCAACGCGAAGAACCUUACCAGGUCUUGACAUCCCGUUGACCACUGUAGAGAUAUAGUUUCCCCUUCGGGGGCAACGGUGACAGGUGGUGCAUGGUUGUCGUCAGCUCGUGUCGUGAGAUGUUGGGUUAAGUCCCGCAACGAGCGCAACCCUUGAUCUUAGUUGCCAUCAUUUAGUUGGGCACUCUAAGGUGACUGCCGGUGACAAACCGGAGGAAGGUGGGGAUGACGUCAAAUCAUCAUGCCCCUUAUGACCUGGGCUACACACGUGCUACAAUGGACGAUACAAACGGUUGCCAACUCGCGAGAGGGAGCUAAUCCGAUAAAGUCGUUCUCAGUCGAUUGUAGGCUGCAACUCGCCUACAUGAACCCGAAUCGCUAUAAUCGCGGAUCACAUGCCGCGGGUGAUACGUUCCCGGGGCCUUGUACACCCCGCCCGUAGGCAGGAGAUGUGGAACACGCGAAGGGGGAAGGUAGCUUUGGAGGCCGCCCGCGAGGGGGAUAAUGGUGGGGG
rnacentral:rRNA from 1 species